CUGGAGGCAGUGGCUCUACAGCAGCAGUGAGAGCCGAGCUGUGGCAGACACAUGCUCUUCCCCUGACUCACGGCUGCCCAGUUCCCUCCAGCGAGGCUGCUGACCUAUUUUUCUAUUAGGAACAACCAGCCAAUGUGAUAAUGAGGAAAAUGUAUUCUGGCCCCUAUGAAGUUUAGUGAAGCCCGAAUGAAGUGGAGGAGGCCACGGAGAUGCACGAGGAAGAGCAUUCCAGGCAGAGGGAACAGCGAGGACAAAAGCCCCCGGGCAGGAAUGGGUGUGCAAGCCUGAGAUCCAACAUGGCGGAGAGCAAGCCGGAAGUGCUGCGCGGGGAUCCUAAGGGAGCACUGAACAGGACAAGCUCAGUUUUGUCCCUCAAACCUCCACAAUCAGUGUCUUCCAGCCCCCUCGUUUCUGAUGAGAAGUUAGCAG
rnacentral:lncRNA from 10 species